rnacentral:rRNA from 1 species
AACUAACGCUGGCGGCGCGCCUAAUACAUGCAAGUCGAACGAUGUAGCAAUACAUAGUGGCGCACGGGAGAGUAACACGUGGAUAAUCUCCCCUCGAGAGAGGAAUAACUAGUCGAAAGAUUGGCUAAUACUUCAUAAGACCACAGAAACUAAUGUUUCAGGGGUAAAAGUCGUAAGACGCUUGAGGAUGAGUCUGCGUCCCAUUAGCUAGUUGGUGAGGUAACGGCUCACCAAGGCGACGAUGGGUAGCUGGUCUGAGAGGAUGAUCAGCCUCACUGGAACUGACACACGGUCCAGACUCCUACGGGAGGCAGCAGUAGGGAAUAUUGCACAAUGGGCGAAAGCCUGAUGCAGCGACGCCGCGUGAGUGAUGAAGGACUUCGGUUUGUAAAGCUCUGUUGUCAGGGAAUAAAAAAUAGAAUAGUACCUGACGAGAAAGGACCGGCUAACUUCGUGCCAGCAGCCGCGGUAAU